rnacentral:lncRNA from 1 species
UGUGUUUAAAAGAAAUGGGGCAUAAACUCAAUCUGCAGAAAGGAUUGCUGGCUGCUUUUCAUCAAUGUCUUCCUCUAAAGGGUUAUUCAUAAAGGAGAAUUAAUUAUAUUAAGCACACAGGAAAAAUCAGCCUUGAACAUAUACACAUAAUUGACUAACUAGCUGAACAUGUAGAAGCAGAAAACAGGCAAGGAUACAAGGAAAUGCUGAAGAAGCAUUCCUGAAAUACAGGUUUUGUUUUUGUUAUGAAAAGUCACCAGUACAGAUUCCCACCUGUUAAUCAGUAAAGCAGGGCAACGACCUUGUCAACAAAGCAAAGGAUUCAAAAAGAAAGGAGGUUCUAAGAGAAACUCUAUCUGAUCCUCAGAAGAAAUCUGGAUUACUUCUGGCCUCGGGAAGUCCUACCAAGUUUCUAGAAGGAGGUGCAGUGAAUCAGGUUUUCAAUCAACGGACCUACGCUGUAUUUGAAAUGAUCAGUAAGGCUGAAUGAAGCUAACUAUGCAACUACAAAAAGUAAGAGUUUUCUUUUCUUUUUUUAAAAAAAGUUCUCUGUAUUGCUGUUGACUACCAUAAUAAAGUAUUGAGAUGGUUUAAAAAUGAAUGAAA